AUGCAGGAAGAAGUCUUCAAACAUGACCAGCUGAAUUUAAAUCAACCCCUGGAAGAGUUCCCCGAGGGCAUCAGCCAUACCUGUGGGCCUGAGGUACCACUGCUGAGGGCUCCAUCCUGCUGCUUUCCUUCCAGUCGCUGCCUUUUACCUUGCGAGCGGGUUCUCCAGGCUCACAUUUCCAUAUGCAGGUUGCCUGACUCCUCUCUACUGCAGCCCAGGGCUCCGGGUUGACUCCCCCUUCUCCUCGCAUCGUCCCAGUUAAUACCACGUGCCAUUUUUAGCCACUAAGCUUGCAAAUAAUUCACAACUCGUGCCUCCUGUCUUGUAUGUACAGCUACUUCUUGACAUUUCCUCUUGGACAUACUCCAGUUCUCACUGAGGGCAGGUUAUGGAUGCACAGCACCUCUUUUGUUCUGCACCUCCCAUAAGACCUUUUUUGCACUGUUCUUAACCUUUCCUGAUGCAAAUAAGAGGGAGCUGACCCACAGAGGUGAAGGACUACAGGCAUGAGGCUGAAAUUCUCUCCAAGGACACCUUUGGAAUCAUGUAUUUGAAUUUUGGGGCAAAUUCAUUCUUCCUAAGAUAAAUACUUAGUUUUCCUGCUAUGAUGAAGUACCCAUAGCAUGUCAAGCAUCAGCAGUUUUACUGGAGUGAGAAGGGCAG
rnacentral:lncRNA from 1 species